UCAUAACCGCAGCAGGUCUCCAAGGUGAACAGCCUCUAGUUGAUAGAACAAUGUAGAUAAGGGAAGUCGGCAAAAUGGAUCCGUAACUUCGGGAUAAGGAUUGGCUCUAAGGGUCGGGCUCGCUGGGCCUUGGGGGAAACCCCUCGGAGCAGGGGGGCACUAGCCGGGCAACCGGCCGGCGCCCCCCAGCACCGGGUGGGGGACGCCCUUGGCAGGCUUCGGCCGUCCGGCGGGCGCUUAACGACCAACUUAGAACUGGUACGGACAAG
rnacentral:ncRNA from 1 species